CAGUCGCCACGGUAAUACGAAGGGGGCUAGCGUUGUUCGGAUUUACUGGGCGUAAAGGGCGCGUAGGCGGACUGAUAAGUCAGGGGUGAAAUCCCAAGGCUCAACCUUGGAACUGCCUUUGAUACUGUUUGUCUUGAGUUCGAGAGAGGUAAGUGGAACUGCGAGUGUAGAGGUGAAAUUCGUAGAUAUUCGCAAGAACACCAGUGGCGAAGGCGGCUUACUGGCUCGAUACUGACGCUGAGGCGCGAAAGCGUGGGGAGCAAACAGGAUUAGAUACCCCUGUAGUCCCUGUCUCUUAUAC
rnacentral:rRNA from 1 species